rnacentral:rRNA from 1 species
AUUGAACGCUGGCGGCAGGCUUAACACAUGCAAGUCGAGCGGAGUGAUGGUGCUUGCACUAUCACUUAGCGGCGGACGGGUGAGUAAUGCUUAGGAAUCUGCCUAUUAGUGGGGGACAACAUCUCGAAAGGGAUGCUAAUACCGCAUACGUCCUACGGGAGAAAGCAGGGGAUCACUUGUGACCUUGCGCUAAUAGAUGAGCGUAAGUCGGAUUAGCUAGUUGGUGGGGUAAAGGCCUACCAAGGCGACGAUCUGUAGCGGGUCUGAGAGGAUGAUCCGCCACACUGGGACUGAGACACGGCCCAGACUCCUACGGGAGGCAGCAGUGGGGAAUAUUGGACAAUGGGGGGAACCCUGAUCCAGCCAUGCCGCGUGUGUGAAGAAGGCCUUAUGGUUGUAAAGCACUUUAAGCGAGGAGGAGGCUCCUUUGGUUAAUACCCAAGAUGAGUGGACGUUACUCGCAGAAUAAGCACCGGCUAACUCUGUGCCAGCAGCCGCAGUAA